AACGAACGCUGGCGGCAUGCCUAACACAUGCAAGUCGAACGAGACCUUCGGGUCUAGUGGCGCACGGGUGCGUAACGCGUGGGAACCUGCCCUUAGGUUCGGAAUAACUCCCCGAAAGGGGUGCUAAUACCGGAUAAUGUCUUCGGACCAAAGAUUUAUCGCCUUUGGAUGGGCCCGCGUUGGAUUAGCUAGUUGGUAGGGUAAAAGCCUACCAAGGCGACGAUCCAUAGCUGGUCUGAGAGGAUGAUCAGCCACACUGGGACUGAGACACGGCCCAGACUCCUACGGGAGGCAGCAGUGGGGAAUAUUGGACAAUGGGCGGAAGCCUGAUCCAGCAAUGCCGCGUGAGUGAUGAAGGCCUUAGGGUUGGAAAGCUCUUUUACCCGGGAUGAUAAUGACAGUACCGGGAGAAUAAGCUCCGGCUAACUCCGUG
rnacentral:rRNA from 1 species